rnacentral:rRNA from 1 species
UCCGGUGACGAUGGCGGUGAGGAUCCACCUGUUCCCAUACCGAACACAGAAGUUAAGCUCACUUGCGCCAGAAGUAGUUGGGUUUUAACCCCGCAAGAUAAGGUAGUUGCCGGAU